UACGGAGGAUCCAAGCGUUAUCCGGAUUUAUUGGGUUUAAAGGGUGCGCAGGCGGCGAGUUAAGUCAGCGGUAAAAUUUCGGGGCUCAACCCCGACAAGCCGUUGAAACUGGGGAUCUAGAGUGUGCGAGAGGUAUGCGGAAUGCGUGGUGUAGCGGUGAAAUGCAUAGAUAUCACGCAGAACCCCGAUUGCGAAGGCAGCAUACCGGCGCCCAACUGACGCUGAAGCACGAAAGCGUGGGUAUCGAACAGG
rnacentral:rRNA from 1 species